rnacentral:rRNA from 1 species
AAUGAACGUUGGCGGCGUGGAUUAGGCAUGCAAGUCGAGCGAGAACCCGCAAGGGGGACAGCGGCAAACGGGGUAGUAAUGUGUCGGAACGUGCCCUCUGGACGGGGAUAGCGGCGGGAAACUGCCGGUAAUACCCGAUGAACUCGAGAGAGCAAAGGUGUGAUUCCGCCGGAGGAGCGGCCGACAUGGUAUUAGCUAGUUGGCGGGGUAACGGCCCACCAAGGCUGUGAUGCCUAGGGGAUGUGAGAGCAUGACCCCCACCAUUGGGACUGAGACACUGCCCAGACACCUACGGGGGGGUGCAGUCGAGAAUCUUCGUCAAUGGGCGAAAGCCUGAACGAGCGACGCCGCGUGCGGGAUGAAGGCCCUUGGGUUGUAAACCGCCGUCGAGGGGGAUGAAGGCAUUCAGGUACUCCUGAAUGUUUGACAGAGCCCUGGAGGAAGCACGGGCUAAGUUCGUGCCAGCAGCCGCCGUAAUAC